rnacentral:rRNA from 1 species
AGAGUUUGAUCCUGGCUCAGAAUGAACGUUGGCGGCGUGGAUUAGGCAUGCAAGUCGCACGGGUCCGACUUCGGUCGGAUCAGUGGCGGAAGGGUGAGUAAGGCGACGGUAACCAACCCCAUGGUUGGGCAUAGCCGCGGGAAACUGCGGGUAAUUCCCAGCGACGUCCGUGUCGGGCAUCCGACGUGGACCAAAGUCCUGGCGCCGUGGGACGGGCCGUCGUGGUAUUAGGUUGUUGGCGGGGUAACGGCCCACCAAGCCUGUGAUGCCUACCGGGCGUGCGAGCGCGACCCGGCACACUGGGACUGAGACACUGCCCAGACUCCUACGGGAGGCUGCAGUCGAGAAUCUUCGGCAAUGGGCGCAAGCUGACCGAGCGACGCCGCGUGGAGGACGAAGGCCUUCGGGUUGUAAACUCCUGUCGAGGGGGAGGAAGGUCGGGCAACCGGCUUGACCGAUCCCUGGAGGAAGCACGGCUAAGUUCGUGCCAGCAGCCGCGGUAAGACGAACCGUGCGAACGUUAUUCGGAAUCACUGGGCUUAAAGCGCGUGUAGGCGGAUGGGAACGUCGGUCGCUGAAAUCCCCCGGCUCAACCGGGGAACGGGCGCCGAAACGACCCGUCUGGAGGGACGUAGGGGGACCUGGAACUUCCGGUGGAGCGGUGAAAUGCGUUGAGAUCGGAAGGAACGCCCGUGGCGAAAGCGAGGUCCUGGACGUCUACUGACGCUGAGACGCGAAAGCUAGGGUAGCGAACGGGAUUAGAUACCCCCGUAGUCC